GAUGAACGCUGACAGCAUGCUUAACACAUGCAAGUCAACUUGAAUUUGGGUUUUUACCUUAGGUUUGGGUGGCGGACGGGUGAGUAACGCGUAAAGAACUUGCCUCACAGCUAGGGACAACAUUUGGAAACGAAUGCUAAUACCUAAUAUUAUGAUAAUAGGGCAUCCUAUAAUUAUGAAAGCUAUAAGCGCUGUGAGAGAGCUUUGCGUCCCAUUAGCUAGUUGGAGAGGUAACGGCUCACCAAGGCGAUGAUGGGUAGCCGGCCUGAGAGGGUGAUCGGCCACAAGGGGACUGAGACACGGCCCUUACUCCUACGGGAGGCAGCAGUGGGGAAUAUUGGACAAUGGACCGAGAGUCUGAUCCAGCAAUUCUGUGUGCACGAUGAAGUUUUUCGGAAUGUAAAGUGCUUUCAGUUGGGAAGAAACAAAUGACGGUACCAACAGAAGAAGUGACGGCUAAAUACGUG
rnacentral:rRNA from 1 species